AACACUGAAAAUAAGUUUCCACCUGGCUUAUAAACAUAAUCUCGUACUAUUUGGAGUAAGAAAAGUUUUGCCUAUUAAAAAAUCUGUGACUUCGAAUUUUGAAUGAGAGAUUUUUUUUCGUGUCGCUCGUACGAAAAAUGGCGGGAGUGCAAAAAUUGAAAUUAAAUCAUUUGAACCUUAACGUAAAAAAUGCCCUUAUUGUCGGUAUUAUUAUUGCUAAAAACAGUCCUCGUACGGUAGGUUCCAAAAAGAAAAGCGGAGAAUCCAGAGGAGUUACAUCUUUUACAAUAAGAGAUUCUGAUAUAGACACGAUUAACGUUGAUGUUUGGGGUUCCGAAUACUUUGUCCUAACUUUUUACGAGCGAUUUUUAGUAGGAGAUGUUGUUGAAAUUACGUCGCCGAAAAUCUGCGUAAAGGCAGGAGAUAACGAAACUUACAGGCCGCAGGUGUCCUCCCCGUUUUUCCUGUCUCUAAACGAAGGCAUGUCAGACGUGACCAUUCACAAUGGAGAUGCUUUCAGCAUGUUCUUACCUCUUCUCCAUAUACCCACUAAGCAAUCUUCAGGCUAUUAUGGACUUGCCGAAGUAAUGAAACUGCCAGAUGAAAGUAACAAUGUUUACGUCGAUUUGCUGGUUGUUGUAAAAUCCGUGAAACCAGCGAAAACUAUAAAAACCAGAGCUGGUGUUGAUAUGUCAGUGCGUGGUGUAGAAAUUAUAGACAAUACAACUCCGGCUACCGUCAACCUGGAUAUAUUUGACAUCGACACUAUCCAAAGAGCUGAAGAAUGGAGGCCAUUAGAAAGCGUGCUCUUUAUAGCUGAUGCUAGAGUAUCGUGGCGAUCCCGUGCAGUCAGUGUGCAAGUAUGCGCGCGCACCGUGGUCACACACCAGCCUCACACCGCUGACGCAGAGGCCCUCAGGCUGCACAUACGUAACCAGGCCACUGCGCGUGAGUCACACUUCUAACUUCAGCGAUUAUCUAAGCCGCCGUAUUCAAAACACAAACUCAUACUAACUACUCUAUUUAUCUUCCUUGAUAACCGAUGUUAAACUGAUAAGUGUAAUCAUUACGGUGGCGGGGAAGCCGCAGCAUGGGCCGCAUGGAGUGGCGAGCGCGCAUGCGCGGCCUCCGUGUCACAAGUGCGCGAUCGCGUCGCAGGCGCAACGCCUUUCUGUGCGUCACUACAUGCAUUGCUGACGCACCUCGAUUUGGAUGAACUUGAUACUUUGUAUGAUAGUUAUCUACCACCUACGUAACAUAAGUCUUCGAACUAAAACACGGUACAGCUAAGUACUGGAUAAUGCACUUUCAGGGAUAAUUCUGCUGAUGAGAACAUUCGGGUCCGCUUUGCUGACCACACUGGGGAGUUGACUGCUCGACUACCUGUGAAUAUUCUCGAAGACACUUUAAGAUAUUCUGUAAAUACUUAAUCAAGUUUCCGAUUACUUUGUGUCUAUGAAGUUGAUUUGUUUUUGCAUGAAUUCUUUGCUUCUAGUUUCUCUGCAAACUACUGUUUUGGGUUUUAGAUAGCGCAGUUAAGGUCGAUGUCCUCUGAAAAUCGUGCAGCAGCUCGGUGGUCCAUUCUCCUAGAACAAUGCACCGUGAAACUGGCUGCUUCACCCCCGCGCCUUAUAGUUCUUAGUCUACGGCGAGCCACGCAAGCAGACCCGAUACCACUAUACUAAAUGAUUAUAUCAGUGUAAUCUGUUAAUUCGUUUCUUUUAAUAAACUCUUGUAACUUA
rnacentral:misc_RNA from 1 species